rnacentral:rRNA from 1 species
UACGAAGGGGGCUAGCGUUGUUCGGAUUUACUGGGCGUAAAGCGCACGUAGGCGGAUCGUUAAGUCGGGGGUGAAAUCCUGGAGCUCAACUCCAGAACUGCCUUCGAUACUGGCGAUCUUGAGUCCGGGAGAGGUGAGUGGAACUCCGAGUGUAGAGGUGAAAUUCGUAGAUAUUCGGAAGAACACCAGUGGCGAAGGCGGCUCGCUGGCCCGGUACUGACGCUGAUGCGCGAAAGCGUGGGGAGCAAACAGG